rnacentral:lncRNA from 1 species
AUCUAUGUAAGAUAUAAUUAACGGUUGAUAUCGUGAAACAAGAUAAAUCAAUCUUUCAUAUGAAAGAUACAAUUCAAACCCUGGCUGUAGUCCUUUACACCCUUGGUAAGGUGGCCAGUCUGUACACAUCUACCAUGUUCAAUCUAUAAACACAACAAUAUGGAUAGAACCUAAAUUAUAUCAAAGUGAUAUGGCUUCGGUUUCUUCCAAUCCAAAGACCAUUGAGUUAUUAACCAACGUGUUCCAUUUUGGUCGUUGGUGGGCAUUGCCUGCGUCCAGCUGUGCAACCGUGGUACGUCUCUCAGCAGAAGCUACAAAAAAUUUGUCACACCAUGUCAAAGUGGAAGACACAUAUACUACUAUUUCAGCAGACUCCCACACGACUCCUCACCCCGACUCAAUCACGGAAUUAUGCAUGGCCUCUCCUUUUUCUCGUUCUUCCAAUCUUCCAAAUUAGGCGACUCCAUUCUCUGAAAUCGGCAUCCAUUUUGAAGGCAACGAUGAUAACCGAUGCCAAGUGAGGUCCCUCGGAUUUUACUGAAAAACAAAAACAGCUAGUUAGCGACAUAUGAUUGGAUAUGGAAAUUUUUAAAAGUAUCAUGGAGGACACCACCGCACCAAAUUUGUUGCAAGCUGAGAGGGGUGCCCAUCAAUUGAGCUCAUGAUGAUU